UACGAAGGGGGCUAGCGUUGCUCGGAAUCACUGGGCGUAAAGCGCACGUAGGCGGAUUGUUAAGUCAGGGGUGAAAUCCUGGAGCUCAACUCCAGAACUGCCUUUGAUACUGGCGAUCUCGAGUCCGGGAGAGGUGAGUGGAACUGCGAGUGAGAGGUGAAAUUCGUAGAUAUUCGCAAGAACACCAGUGGCGAAGGCGGCUCGACUGGCCCGGUAC
rnacentral:rRNA from 1 species